rnacentral:lncRNA from 1 species
AAAAACCGAAAUAACUAGUGAUAGUGGGCAUAUAGAAACUAAAUGAAAUAUUUUCGUUCUUUUUAUACAUAUGUUUAUAAAGCACUUCCCUAAAUUUCCACCAUUUCAGAUAACUCCAAUUAUAUAUCUUCAAGUAGCAAUAAUUUUUCUGCUACCCUAAUCUUUGUUUCAAGAAUCUCUAUGCCCUUAGCAUAAAGGGUAGAUGAAAGAU